rnacentral:sRNA from 1 species
UGGAAUUCGAUGGGGAAUCUUGGAGGAAAAGAAGAUGGAUAGAAGUCUACAGCCUUCUAAGGAGAGCAUUUUUAGUAGAACAUAAUUUGGUUUUAGCUGAACGAAAGUCACCUGAAAUUUCUGAACGAAUUGUACAGUGGCCUGCAAUAAUGUACAAACCUCUGUUGGACAAAGCUGGUUUGGGAUCCAUAACUUCUGUUCGCUUUCUGGGAGAUCAACAAAGAGUAUUUCUUUCUAAAGACCUUUUGAAGCCUAUACAGGAUGUAAACAGUCUUCGACUUUCUCUUACGGAUAAUCAGAUUGUCAGUAAAGAAUUUCAAGCUUUGAUUGUGAAGCAUUUAGAUGAAAGCCAUCUUUUAAAAGGUGACAAAAACUUAGUUGGUUCAGAAGUAAAAAUUUAUAGCUUGGACCCAUCUACUCAGUGGUUUUCAGCAACCGUUGUAAAUGGAAACCCAGCAUCAAAAACUCUUCAAGUCAACUGUGAGGAGGUAAAGACAACAAUAACUCUUUGUAAGAUAACUCGACAAAGCAUGAUAACUAUACAAAGCAUUUAUGAUUUUCUAGGCACUAAAUACCU